UGACAGUCUCACCCACAGCUCUAACAGCCAGCGACGCCUCCAACACGUCCACAGCACACGACAUAUAACUACUACAUAAACCACAGAUGAACUGAUUGAGGCACUCUUCAACAGACGGCAAACCCUGAUGGAGGUUGAUAAACUGGAUCUGGAUAAUCCUGUGCAUAUGUGUAUAUACAUGUCAGCUGCCUGUGUCUGCUCGAAACAUAAUGAAGAUGUAAGAGGCCAUAAUACACUGCCGGGAGCCAGCAGAGGGCGGCAGCAGAGCAUAGUGAUAGCCACCAUGCAGGAGAACUCAGCUGCUCAGAAUUCUCCAGCCUGAUUAACCUGGAUUGCCUGCACCUGCCAGGCAGGAUACGUAAGGCCUGCCUUGGACACAGCCCUUUGCUGCACCUUUGUAGAGGGGUGACCAGUCAGGUCUUUGCCCAAGCAGGCGUUCCCUGAAAAUAACCCUUAAAGAUCUCUCCAAAACAAGCCUUAACCAAGAAGAUCUUCUUCAUGAUAUUUAAUCUGAGACAUAAGGUAUGCUUGGCAAAUACACUAAUUAUAAUUAUAAUGACACUUGUUUAAGAAUGAUAUGUCUUUCCUUAUGUUUUUAAAUCAUUUGACUCACCUGGACACCUGGAACACUGCAUUAUUUGGUGCUUCCUGGCACUUCCCCCCCACAUCCUCACUGCUUUGAAGUAAACUUCUGAUUGGCCCCUUACAACUGACUUCAAAUGGAUCAUCUGACUUAAGAAGCUCCUGACAAUCAGCAGGAAACAGGUACUGAAGCCUGUGAAUGCUGCCUGCAUCUGGAUGAUAUAGGUUGACUACAUUUCUCUCAGGAAGUCUGGCUGCAUCCGGAUAGACUAGGCUGUCUAUAUAUGAAUCAUGAAGACUGAAUGCACAUUCCAAAAUACAGGAACUGAGACCUGAAUUUGUUUGUUGUACCUCAGACUCAUGAUUUAUGGCUUCAGUCAUGUCACUGUCUUCUGUCUGACUGCCUGACUUUCACGAAUUUUUGAUAUAUAGCUUAAAAACUUGCUCAUUAAUUUUUUUCUCUGGUACUAGUGUACAGUGUAAUAAGAUUAUUACAAACUGUAUAUUGGUAUAGUGAGUAAUUGCUUUGUGAAUUAUUUUACCCUCCUCUCAACUGUCCAACAGUUUCUUUUCUUCCAGGGAUUUUCAGUGCCACAAAUGCAUCCACAUUCCUGGUCAAACUGCUCCUUUGUUCAUCUUGUCCAUCUGAAUAGCACAAGGUGAAGAUACAGUUUUUCCAUUUGGUCUUCUGACCAAAAGGCUUCUUUUGCAAUGCUUAAUUUGUCGUCACUUCCUUUAAAAAGGAAUUUGGGGGUAUUUCACUGAGGACAAAUUUCGCAAAUUUCCCUGACCUUUUCCGGGAUUUUGGCAGCCAUUCCAUAGGACACAACUUUACCUUAGGAAAUAGAAAUAGCAAAAACAGAAGAAUGUAGCUUUCUGCUUCGUAUGUGUUCUCUUCUUUACAAUGGCUGAGCCUGAGUGUCUUUUGGUGAGUUGAGCAUAAUAUCUGUUAUAUAAAUGAAGUGUUAUAUAACAUUUCCUCAUCUAUUUGCUCUGACAGAACAACAAAAUGCCUAUCAUUUUAAGAUUUAACCUUGGGUACAGUGAAUACUGUUUCUUUCUAACCAUUUGUUCAGUUCCUUAGCUUUACAGAAAACUUGAAUUAUUUUAGAUUGAGAAAUGUACAUUUUUAAUUAGCUCUUUCUCUAAAGGUGCUAUCACAUACAAUAACUAAUUUGGUUAUCAUGAAUACUUACAGUUGUGGAAGCAGGGGCAUGGUCGAGUGCCAGUUUGUGAAUGGGAGGCAGAGCCGGAGAAGGUGAGUGGUAAGGAUUACACACCUGUGGGGAAUUUGACUAACAAGUGUUCUGUGUUUCAGUGAGUGACAGCAAGGAAUAAAGAGGGGAGAGACAAGAGCCUCGAGGGGGUUAGAGCUGAGCGGCACAGAGCCGCGUGUGUGCAUGUGCAUGUGCAAAGUGCAAUAAAAUCACUGAAAAGAGAAGUGUUACACUGGCGCCGAAACCCCGGAGUGAGGUAGAACCGCCGUUAUGGAGUCCUCGCAUUAACGUCCUAGCAGAGAUCGUCAAGUCCAUUGCCAGCCUUCACCAGACUCAACAUCAGGCCCUCCUCGAACUACGGACAGAGCAGGAACAGCGCUUCCAGGCCCUGCUCCAAGCCAAGGCAGAGGACCAGCAAGUGCUCCGGAGCCUGGUCCAGCCGGCAGGUACUCCAGCAGCAGCCGCAGCAGCCAUGCCCCACAUCAUGCUGCUCAAGACGGGGCCACAUGAUGACCUGGAAGCAUUCCUGAAACUUUUUGAGCGUGCUGUGGAAGCUUGGGGCUGGCCCAACUCGCAGUACUGCUACUGUUGAGGAAAGUCCAGCUCGUGGCCCAACAGCUUCCUGUGGUGAACCUGCUGGAGUACUGGUUGCUCCCAAAUUGUGACAACAAUCUGCCGAAUUCUUCAUAUGUCUGGGCUGCGGGGUAGGGUGGCAAGACAGAAGCCUUUUUUUAACCAAAAAAAAAAAUAAAUCCAAGCCCAGCUAAAGUUUGCAAAAAAAUAUAUCCCAUCUCCCAAAAAUCCAUGUGGAAUAAUGUGUUAUGGUCUGAUGAGACCAAAGUUGAACUUUUUUGCCAUAAUACCAAAAGAUAUGUUUGGCACAAAAAAACACAGCACAUCAACAAAAGAACACCAUUCCCAUGGUGAAGCAUGGAGGUGGCAGCAUCAUGAUUUGGGGCUGCUUUUCUUCAACUGGAACUGGGGCUUUAGUCAGGGUGGAGGGAAUAAUGAAUAGCUCCAAAUACCAGUCAAUGUUAGCAUAAAACCUUAAGACUUCUGCUAAAACACUUAAGAUGAAGAGGAAUUUCACCUUUCAGCAUGACAAUGACCUGAAGCACAAACUAUCAAAUCAACAAAGGAAUGGCUUCAUCAAAACAAGAUCAAGGUUUGGAAUGACCCAGCCAGAGUCUAGAUCUAAAUCCAAUCAAAAAUCUGUGGUUUGAUGGAACAGGGCUGUGCACAAGAGAUGCCCACCCAAUUUGACAGAGAAAGAAUGCUUUUGCAAGGAGGAAUGGCAAAAUAUUGCAAAGUUAAGAUGUGCAAACUGACUCUUACUCAAAAAGAUUGAAUGCCGUGAUAAAAUCUAAAGGUGCUUCAACUAUUAGUUUCGGGGUGUGCACACUUAUGCAACUAGGUUAUUGUACAUUUUUGAUUUUUCAUUUUUUCUCCUAAAAUGAUUCUUAUUGUUUUCACUUUAAUUUAUAGGUUGCAAUAUCACAAUAAAGGCAGAAAAGGUUCUUA